UUCAAGAGAACGUGAAAUCGUUGAAGUGGAACCGGAGAGAGUUGACGUAGUAUGGUGGAUAAGUAUUGCAAGAAUCGCUUCAAACAAUGAAUGUGAUCGAGUAAUAUGUACGUCACCAAAGACUGCGCUGACAGCAUCGACUACACGCUCUGAACUGUGUUGACAUGUUGCCUAUUCUAGUAUAUAGAAUGGUGUCUUGUGUUACGUGGUGAAGUUUGUUGUUAUGUUGUUGAUGUUGAUAAKUAUGAUUAUACACCAAGUAUAAUUAUGUCAGUGUAAAAGUCAACCACCUCUCCGACCCGUCUUGAAACACGGACCGAGGAGUGUAACUUGUACGCGAGUCAUUGGGUGGAAAAACCUUAAGGCGAAACGAAAGUGAAGGCACGGUUAACCGGCUGACAUGGGAAACGUGCGGUAUUGUUAGCGAGACGUUACACCAUGGCCCUGUCUUGUCUGCAUGCAGAUGGGCAGCGGUAGAGCGUACAGGUUGCGACCCGAAAGAUGGUGAACUAUGCCUGAGCAGGACGAAGUCAGAGGAAACUCUGGUGGAAGUCCGUAUCGGUUCUGACGUGCAAAUCGAUCGAUAGACUUG
rnacentral:rRNA from 1 species